rnacentral:rRNA from 1 species
CGUAUCCAACCUUCCCAUUACUGUGGGAUAACCUGCCGAAAGGGAACUAAUACCGCAUAGUCUUCGAUGACGGCAUCAGAUUUGAAGUAAAGAUUUAUCGGUAAUGGAUGGGGAUGCGUCUGAUUAGCUUGUUGGCGGGGUAACGGCCCACCAAGGCAACGAUCAGUAGGGGUUCUGAGAGGAAGGUCCCCCACAUUGGAACUGAGACACGGUCCAAACUCCUACGGGAGGCAGCCGUUAGGAAUAUUGGUCAAUGGACGGAAGUCUGAACCAGCCAAGUAGCGUGCAGGAUGACGGCCCUAUGGGUUGUAAACUGCUUUUGUAUGGGGAUAAAGUUAGGGACGUGUCCCUAUUUGCAGGUACCAUACGAAUAAGGACCGGCUAAUUCCGUGCCAGCAGCCGCGGUAAUACGGAAGGUCCAGGCGUUAUCCGGAUUUAUUGGGUUUAAAGGGAGCGUAGGCUGGAGAUUAAGUGUGUUGUGAAAUGUAGACGCUCAACGUCUGAAUUGCAGCGCAUACUGGUUUCCUUGAGUACGCACAACGUUGGCGGAAUUCGUCGUGUAGCGGUGAAAUGCUUAGAUAUGACGAAGAACUCCGAUUGCGAAGGCAGCUGACGGGAGCGCAACUGACGCUUAAGCUCGAAGGUGCGGGUAUCAAACAGGAUUAGAUACCCUGGUAGUCCGCACAGUAAACGAUGGAUGCCCGCUGUUGGUACCUGGUAUCAGCGGCUAAGCGAAAGCAU